AUUGAACGAAAUGUGCCAC
rnacentral:piRNA from 1 species